UCACGGAGUGUUCUAGAUUUUAAAGCAUGUUAGACACAGUUUUACUUUGAGGCAGAGUGACUUACAAGAGGGGUGCCUGCGAGAGAUUAAAAGAUUACACUUGUCGUCCCCUGCUUUCGUGGGAAAAGUACCAAUUUCUCUUUUGGCCUGUAGACUCAGACAAAACCAGCGUGGUGGCCUUCAUGGGCUGUUGAGCAGAGGUGGAGGAGAGCAGCAGGGAAGAGAUAGGGCAUCCUGGACUCCCCUCACGAGUCACCGAGGGUAAUUUUCUCAGAAGUCUAGAUGGAUGCCAGUAAGCCCGCUGUCCAGACAGGGGAGGUGAUAGAGCUCGCUUUGUGUUUCCAGUUGAAAACAAAGGCUCGUUAGGAUUCGCGGCCGCCUGUGCUGCCCUGGGGCUCCAGGGACCAGCUGGCACCUGGACGGCGGCUGUGAAAAAACACUGGAGGCAGAACUCAGCUGAGCUGCAACCUCGUGAGCUCAAGUGGGGGUCACCCCUAGCUGAGGUUACCGCUGAGGGAAUGGGGUCACCCGCCCCGGGAGAACCUGAGCGGCUGCGCGGGGACGCGGACAAAAGCCGCUUUGUGGAGGCGGCGAGUCCUUCAACGGCGCCACCGUGUGGCAGCGCCGGGAAGCCGCGGCGGCGGCGGGCGCCGCGGAUCCUGAGGCCGUCUCUCGCACGCCCUGACCUUCUCCCACCUUCUCUGACAGGACUCCAUGGUGACGGCCUGCCCCCUGAGGCUCUGCCCAGCUCUUAGAGGACACCACUCUCCAGGGGCUGCCCCAAACCUGGUGAUGCUCUUCAGGGCCUGGGGAGGAGGCUGAAGAGGCAGUUCUGGGCCUGAACUUCCCUGAUUCUCCCUGUCACAGCGGUUCUCAGCUCUCUCUCUCUGCCCCACCGCCAUCCCCAAACCAUCUGCAAGGUUCUACUCCCAUAACGAACUCAUCCUCAGGAAGAUCACCAGUCUGGUGCCUUCAUACACCCACCUGUUCCCAGGGGCCACUUCAGCCCGGCUCUGAGAUUUCACUGCAUACAACCCACGUCUACAUUUAAGGUUUCAAAGGACACCAUUCUGAAUAUUGUGCAUGUAUUUGCUCAUCAUGUCUUCAGAGCAAUUAUAGGAGAUGGGUGCUAUUACUAUCCCCAUUUUCCAUAUGAGGAAACUGAGACCCGAAGUCACAAGGCACAGCAUAUGAACCCUAGUACUGUGGCUCUGGAGCCCACAUGCUGGGCACUAUACUACAGCUGUCCAGCAACACUCCACAAAAGGCACAGGAUGGAGAGAAGAGAAACCAGAAAAAAGGGAUUUUGCCUGCAAUUUCUCCCUGUUCUCUGGAGUGACCCUAGUGCUUCCUGUGUGCUCUCCCCUCCCCCCAUCCCUUGACAUGAUGGACCCUUUCCUCUUGGGAACGGAAAGAGAAGAAAAUCAUCCAUGACAAGUAGCAGCUGUCAAAUAGGAAGCUUCAUGCUCCGGGAAAAGCGAAAUCUCCCACCAUGCAAACUCAUGUACUACAGGUUCAAGUACACUUUUCUUCUGUAGGGAAAUUGGAAAGACUGAAAUGAGCUCACCCAUCAGUGUUACCUCCAGCCUUCCUUGCUUUGUGGUCUUCUACAACUCUGAAAGUUUAAAAUGGACUCCAUACACUGAAAUCGGGGGACUUAGGGACAACGAGACAAGGAGACCCAGGGCCACCAAGCCACCACACCUUCCUUUGGUUGUUUCCUCUCUGCAGAACUCUCUCCAGAGCACCUCUCGCUCUUCUCUGCCUGCCUGGGAAACAAGACAGCAGACCUGAGGAGCAGCUUUCAUCUGCUGGGGAGGCAACCCCUCCUCCUCAGAACAUACUUCCCUCCCCAUGUUCGCAUAGAUUAAGUUUGAGAAAGAGACAGAGGGAGAGUGGGUCAGGAGCAGAGAGGGGGAGACACAGAAUCCGAGUUAUUUCAGUAGCUUCCUAACUGGUCCCCUUGCAUCCACCCUGCAUCCUUCCUGCAUCCAUUCUCCGUCUGUCUCUGCCUCCGUCUCUCUAUGCUGCAGCCAGACCGAUCCUGCUAAUGUGAGACACGGGGUCCCUCUGCUCAGAUGCCUCUGCAGCUGCCCUUUUCAUGCAGAGUAAAGCCAAAGUCCUCACAGAAGUUUAUAGGGUCUGACAGAAUUUGGUUUCCCAUUCUCUCUCGGACCUCGUCUCCUGAACUCUAUCCACUCAGGCACGCUGGCCUCUUUGCUGUUCCCCUCUGCACUGUCCAGAGCAGGGACCCUCUCAACUCAGGGCCCUUGUGUUUGCUGUUUUCUAACACUGGGAAACUCCUCUUCUAGACACCCACAUAGCCACAUGGCUCAUUCCCUCAACUCCUUCAGGUCUUUGUUCAAUGUUUACCUUCUUGGUGAACUGUAAACCAUCUCACUUAAAAUUGAACCACUGCAGGGGCACCUGGGUGUCUCAGCUGGUUAAGCGUCCGACUUCAGCUCAGGUCAUGAUCUCACGGUUCGUGGGUUUGAGCCCCACAUCAAGCUCUGUGUUGACAGCUCAGAGCC